GACGAACGCUGGCGGCGUGCCUAAUACAUGCAAGUAGAACGCUGAAGGAGGAGCUUGCUUCUCUGGAUGAGUUGCGAACGGGUGAGUAACGCGUAGGUAACCUGCCUGGUAGCGGGGGAUAACUAUUGGAAACGAUAGCUAAUACCGCAUAAUAGUAGAUGUUGCAUGACAUUUGCUUAAAAGGUGCAAUUGCAUCACUACCAGAUGGACCUGCGUUGUAUUAGCUAGUUGGUGGGGUAACGGCUCACCAAGGCGACGAUACAUAGCCGACCUGAGAGGGGGAUCGGCCACACUGGGACUGAGACACGGCCCAGACUCCUACGGGAGGCAGCAGUAGGGAAUCUUCGGCAAUGGACGGAAGGCUGACCGAGCAACGCCGCGUGAGUGAAGAAGGUUUUCGGAUCGUAAAGCUCUGUUGUAAGAGAAGAACGAGUGUGAGAGUGGAAAGUUCACAAUGUGACGGUAUCUUACCAGAAAGGGACGGCUAACUACGUG
rnacentral:rRNA from 1 species